GUUAAUAAGGGCGCACGGUGGAUGCCUUGGCACUAGAAGCCGAAGAAGGACGUGACUAACGACGAAAUGCUUUGGGGAGCUGUAAGUAAGCGCUGAUCCAGAGAUGUCCGAAUGGGGGAACCCACUAGUUAAUGACUAGUAUCCAUAUCUGUUAAGGAUAUGAGAAGGAAGACGCAGUGAACUGAAACAUCUAAGUAGCUGCAGGAAGAGAAAGCAAAAGCGAUUGCCUUAGUAGCGGCGAGCGAAACGGCAGGAGGGCAAACCGAAGUGUUUACACUUCGGGGUUGUAGGACUGCGAUAUAGGAUUAAUCAUUAUAGAAGAAUUACCUGGGAAGGUAAGCCAAAGAGAGUAACAGCCUCGUAUUUAAAAUGAUAGAUUAACCUUAGCAGUAUCCUGAGUACGGCGAGACACGCGAAAUCUCGUCGGAAUCUGGGAGGACCAUCUCCCAACCCUAAAUACUCUCUAGUGACCGAUAGUGAACCAGUACCGUGAGGGAAAGGUGAAAAGCACCCCGGGAGGGGAGUGAAAUAGAACCUGAAACCGUGUGCCUACAACAAGUUCGAGCCCGUUAAUGGGUGAGAGCGUGCCUUUUGUAGAAUGAACCGGCGAGUUACGAUAUGAUGCGAGGUUAAGUUGAAGAGACGGAGCCGUAGGGAAACCGAGUCUUAAUAGGGCGCCAUAGUAUCAUGUUGUAGACCCGAAACCAUGUGACCUACCCAUGAGCAGGUUGAAGGUGAGGUAAAACUCACUGGAGGACCGAACCAGGGCACGUUGAAAAGUGCUUGGAUGACUUGUGGGUAGCGGAGAAAUUCCAAACGAACUUGGAGAUAGCUGGUUCUCUCCGAAAUAGCUUUAGGGCUAGCGUCGAUGUUAAGUCUCUUGGAGGUAGAGCACUGUUUGGGUGAGGGGUCCAUCCCGGAUUACCAAUCUCAGAUAAACUCCGAAUGCCAACGAGAUAUAAUCGGCAGUCAGACUGCGAG
rnacentral:rRNA from 1 species